GGAAGGAUCAUUAACACUGAUGUCGGCUCCGGCCGGCGCACCCCUAAACAACUUGUGAAUUUCAUGACCGUUUGUCAUUUUUAACAAUCAAAAAUACAAACCUAACGAAAAAACAAUAACCAAUAUACAACUCUUAGCAAUGGAUAUCUUGGUUCCCACAACGAUGAAGAACGCAGCGAAAUGCGAUACGUAAUGCGAAUUGCAGAAUUCAGUGAAUCAUCAAAUCUUUGAACGCAAGUUGCGCUUUCGAGAUAUCCUUGAAAGCAUGCCUCUUUGAGUAUCGGUUUCCAAAUUCGAGUUUUUCGCAAGAGAAACACCGAGUGAAUGAGUUUGCCGCGAGUCAAAUCACGGCUGGCUCGAAAUGCAAUCGGCUGCAAUUCAAACUGCCCUCGUACUUUUCGACACACAAGUCGAGAGCAGGCGGCCAACAAACCUUUACAACAAGAUCUCAAAUGAGGUAAGACUACCCGCUGAAUUUAAGCAUAUAAUUAAGCGGAGGAAAAGAAACUAACAAGGAUUCCCUCAGUAACGGCGAGUGAAGCGGGAAGAGCUCAAACCGAAAAUCUCUGUCGCAAGACAGCGAAUUGUGGUCUAUUGAAGCGUGUCUCAGUGUGCAGUCCCGGCCUAAGUCGAUUGGAACAUCGCAUCAGAGAGGGUGAGAAUCCCGUUCUUGGCUGGGUGUCUGCCGCGUUCGAGCCGUUCUCAAAGAGUCGGGUUGCUUGGGAGUGCAGCCCUAAGUGGGUGGUAAAUUUCAUCUAAAGCUAAAUACAUGUGGGAGACCGAUAGCGAACAAGUACCGUGAGGGAAAGAUGAAAAGAACUUUGAAAAGAGAGUUAAAAAGUACUUGAAAUUGCUGAGAACGAAGGGAUGGCGACUAGUAAUGACUCGGGCGAUCCUCGGGUCGCUGUCGAUCCGGCGCGCUGUGAUUGCCUGGCUUCACGUGUGUCGGGGGUCGGCGGCGGUCCGGGAUCCGAUCGUUCGGGUCUAGGUCAGAAUGGAUUCGCAGCGGUUGAAACUGGCGGCGGGAAGGUAACUUGGAAAUCAACCUCCUCGAACUUAUAGCCCGCCGUUGAGAGACUGUUGCGGAUCGAGGUGCUGAAGCGCGCGCUCUAAGCUCUUGACGCGACGCCCGCUGUUAGACUCGCCGCCGUUGGGGAACAAAGUUCCGUUUCGGUCGGCAGUCUGCACUCGGUCGUCGCUCAUUUGUCGCGCUCGGGAUUCUGACGAAAUGGUCGUCAUUCACCCGUCUUGAAACACGGACCAAGGAGUCUUACAUAUAUGCGAGUAAUCGAGUGGAAAACUCGCUUGCGCAAUGAAGGUGAUUGAAUGUGAUCCCGCUUGCCGGGAGCAACAUCGGGCGGCUAAGAUAACUGUACGACCAUGAGCAUAUCUGUAGGGACCCGAAAGAUGGUGAACUAUGCUUGAGCAGGAUGAAGCCAGGGGAAACUCUGGUGGAAGUCCGAAGCGAUACUGACGUGCAAAUCGUUCGUCUGACUUGAGUAUAGGGGCGAAAGACUAAUCGAACUAUCUAGUAGCUGGUUCCCUC
rnacentral:misc_RNA from 1 species